ACUUAAGCAUAUCAAUAAGCGGAGGAAAAGAAACCAACAGGGAUUGCCUCAGUAACGGCGAGUGAAGCGGCAACAGCUCAAAUUUGAAAUCUGGCUCCUUGGGGGUCCGAGUUGUAAUUUGGAGAGGAUGCUUCGGGUGCGGCACCGGUCUAGGUCCCUUGGAACAGGGCGUCAUAGAGGGUGAGGAUCCCGUAUGUGACCGGCGACCAAGCCCAUGUGAAGCUCCUUCGACGAGUCGAGUUGUUUGGGAAUGCAGCUCAAAAUGGGUGGUAAAUUUCAUCUAAAGCUAAAUACCGGCCAGAGACCGAUAGCGCACAAGUAGAGUGAUCGAAAGAUGAAAAGCACUUUGGAAAGAGAGUCAAAAAGUACGUGAAAUUGUUGAAAGGGAAGCGCUUGUAACCAGACCUGCCGUCGGGUGCUCCGCGGGCAUUCUUGCCCGUCUACUCCCCCGUCAUCAGGCCAGCAUCGGUUUUGGCGGCCGGAUAAAGACUCGAGGAAUGUAGCUUCGCUUCGGGGAAGUGUUAUAGCCUCUUGUGCAAUACGGCCAGCCGGGACCGAGGACCGCGCUUCGGCUAGGAUGCUGGCGUAAUGGUUGCAAGCGACCCGUCUUGAAACACGGACCAAGGAGUCUAACAUCUAUGCGAGUGUUUGGGUGUCAAACCCAUGCGCGGAAUGAAAGUGAACGGAGGUGGGAACCCUUGAGGGCGCACCAUCGACCGAUCCGGAAGUUUACGGAUGGAUUUGAGUAUGAGCAUAGCUGUUGGGACCCGAAAGAUGGUGAACUAUGCCUGAAUAGGGUGAAGCCAGAGGAAACUCUGGUGGAGGCUCGCAGCGGUUCUGACGUGCAAAUCGAUCGUCAAAUUUGGGUAUAGGGGCGAAAGACUAAUCGAACCAUCUAGUAGCUGGUUCCUGCCGAAGUUUCGUAAGUUCUUCCGCGGAUCCCGCCCCCCCCAAUGUACCCGUGCUAACAAUCUUUAUAGCCUCAGGAUAGCAGUAACGUUUUCAGUUUUAUGAGGUAAAGCGAAUGAUUAGAGGCCUGGGGGAUGAAACAUCCUUCACCUAUUCUCAAACUUUCAAUAUGUAAGAAGUCCUUGUUACUUAGUUGAACGUGGACAUUUGAAUGCACCGUUACUAGUGGGCCAUUUUUGGUAAGCAGAACUGGCGAUGCGGGAUGAACCGAACGUGGGGUUAAGGUGCCGGAAUGUACGCUCAUCAGACACCAAGGGGAAGACUUGUGGUGUCUCGCCGGGGGGAUGGACCCCCCGGCAUCAGUCUGCGAAAGGCGAGGUCUUUGACCUGUAGGGGUCGGUGGUCGCUCCGGCGAUGGCCUACCUUCUGCUGUCCCCGUGACUGGGGCAGCUCACAGAUCAAGCAAAGGCCGGCGGCCGGGUGCCGUUGGAGAUAUGAUCGGCCCCCGGAGGUUCACUCCGGGGAGCACGUGCAAAAGGUGUUGAUUCAUCUAGCCAGCCGGACGGUGGCCAUGGAAGUCGGAAUCCGCUAAGGAGUGUGUAACAACUCACCGGCCGAAUGAAUCAG
rnacentral:rRNA from 1 species